UAAACGCUGUCCGAGCAGGUGUCAGGUGUCC
rnacentral:piRNA from 1 species